rnacentral:rRNA from 1 species
GAUUAACGCUAGCGGCAGGCCUAAUACAUGCAAGUCGAACGGGAUUCAAAGUAGCAAUAUUUUGAUGAGAGUGGCGCACGGGUGAGUAACACGUAUGCAAUUUACCUUAACUGGGGGAUAGCCCUCCGAAAGGAGGAUUAAUACCGCAUAAUAUAUUGAAAUGGCAUCAUUUUAAUAUUAAACCUACGGGGGUUAAAGAUGAGCAUGCAUCCGAUUAGCUAGUUGGUGUGGUAACGGCUCACCAAGGCAACGAUCGGUAGGGGGUCUGAGAGGAUGAUCCCCCACACUGGUACUGAGACACGGACCAGACUCCUACGGGAGGCAGCAGUAAGGAAUAUUGGACAAUGGAGGCAACUCUGAUCCAGCCAUGCCGCGUGAAGGAUUAAGGCCCUAUGGGUUGUAAACUUCUUUUAGACGGGACAAAACCCCUUUACGUGUAAAGGGUUGAUGGUACUGUCAGAAUAAGCAUCGGCUAACUUCGUG